UCCACACGGCUUAUGUGUGUCCGCACAUUUUGCAUAUGCUAAUCAAGGCAUUUGUAUUACAUAUGUCCAAAUUCCUCUACCCUUUGUGCUUUGGAUGGAUGUUUAUCCCCGGUGUAAAAACAUAAAUAUCUAUAAUACAUUACUGACUAUCAUUCCAGGAGACCACAGUUUGUUUGAGGCAUUCUGUCAAACAGUUCACGCACCCUAUCAAUGCGUCCACAUUUUACAAAAGUGCCCAAAGUGGAGGCACAGACGGUGGAAUUUGUUUUUAUACCUGCCAGGAUUUUGUGGAAAUGUAGAUGGGUUACAUUUUGUAGGCUUGGCUUGUGGAGGGGAGAGUGAGGCCUACAAUUGCUGCACUUUUUAUGUUCCCAUGUAGAGGCAUCCUAGGUUACUUGACAUAGUUGCCACUUCCUCAGGCAUCUAAAAAAGGUCAACGCUUGCAGCGCCAUACUUUAACAUGUCUACAUGACCUUCUUUUAGGGUUUUCACAUUUUAUUAGCAUUUCUUCUAUAUCGUGCAUUUGAUCUUUAUUGUUUGUCGACAGUGCAUCUUUCCUCUGCAUUUCUUUCCAAGUCAAUUCCAAUUCCCUUGCAUUUCAAUUAGGUUUUGUCAAUAUCAUCUU